rnacentral:rRNA from 1 species
CGGAGGAUGCAAGCGUUAUCCGGAUUUAUUGGGUUUAAAGGGUGCGUAGGCGGAUGAAUAAGUCUGUGGUGAAAGCCUGCAGCUUAACUGUAGAAUUGCCAUUGAUACUGUUCGUCUUGAGUACAGCUGAGGUGGGCGGAAUAUGACAUGUAGCGGUGAAAUGCUUAGAUAUGUCAUAGAACACCGAUUGCGAAGGCAGCUCACUAAACUGUCACUGACGCUGAGGCACGAAAGCGUGGGGAGCAAACAGGAUUAGAUACCCUGGUAGUCCACGCCCUAAACUAUGAUCACUCGAUGUUGGCGAUACACUGUCAGCGUCUAAGCGAAAGCAUUAAGUGAUCCACCUGGGGAGUACGGUCGCAAGACUG